rnacentral:lncRNA from 1 species
GUUAUUUGUCAAAUAAUUGGAAUCAAAAGUUUCGCUAUCAACACUUCCCUUUUCGCCGCACUCUACAUUCCUCUCGCCAUUUCUUCCCUAAGGCCCAAGGCCAAGCCCAGCCAAGCGGCGGUUACAAACGCCCCGAACUCAAAGUUUAACUCCGAUGAGAUUCUCACACGUGGCGAAUCUGCACUAGACUUGAUUGAUUGAUUGAUUGAUAAAGCAGUUCGUUGAAAUCACUAAGUUCUAACCGGUGACGAAACAAAGUGGUGGUAAACUCUAUUAUGAAGCUGCUUGUUUGUUGAAAUCACUUAUGAGUGUGUUGAUAUCGCUGCCGCUGCUGUUUUACUCUCCGAUCAAGGUGAUGUUGCUAGGAAUACAAUGUUAGGUUCCAACUGCGAAUUGGUGGCUAGAUUUGUACAUGCUACUGUAAAUUCAUCCAAAUCUGAAGGUGCUGAAAAACUUGUCAUAUGGUGAGGUGAGGCUUGAUGAUGAUUUCCUUUGUAAAUUAUUUGAUGAUGAUUUGUUAAACUGGAAGAUAGGGAGAAACAAUUAACAGGUGUUGUUAUGAAAUGUGUAAAAAGUGUAAACUCUCAUUUCUCAUUGCAAGAUAAUCGAAGAAAUUGUUUGUUAAAUUUUUUAGAGUUAACCAUUUGUAUUUUUGUGUAAGGUAAGAUGAUGGAAUUGUAUGCAGAUUAUUGAUAGUAGAAAUUGAAACUUCAAAGCUAAUGGUGUGAUCUUCAAGUGAAAAUUUAAUUUUAUUAC